UGGGGAAUAUUGGACAAUGGGCGAAAGCCUGAUCCAGCCAUGCCGCGUGUGUGAAGAAGGUCUUCGGAUUGUAAAGCACUUUAAGUUGGGAGGAAGGGCAUUAACCUAAUACGUUAGUGUUUUGACGUUACCGACAGAAUAAGCACCGGCUAACUCUGUGCCAGCAGCCGCGGUAAUACAGAGGGUGCAAGCGUUAAUCGGAAUUACUGGGCGUAAAGCGCGCGUAGGUGGUUUGUUAAGUUGGAUGUGAAAUCCCCGGGCUCAACCUGGGAACUGCAUUCAAAACUGACUGACUAGAGUAUGGUAGAGGGUGGUGGAAUUUCCUGUGUAGCGGUGAAAUGCGGAGAUAUAGGAAGGAACACCAGUGGCGAAGGCGACCACCUGGACUAAUACUGACACUGAGGUGCGAAAGCGUGGGGAGCAAACA
rnacentral:rRNA from 1 species